GUCUAUGGCCAUGCAACCCUGAACAAGCCCAAUCCCAUCUGAUCUCAGAAGCUAAGCAGGGUCACGCCUGGAUAGUACUUGGAUGGGAGACAACCGAGGAAGAUCAGGUGCUGUAGGCA
rnacentral:rRNA from 1 species